CAGAAACUUAAAGGAAGUUGACGGGGCCCGCACAAGCGGUGGAGUAUGUGGUUUAAUUCGAUGCAACGCGAAGAACCUUACCUGGUCUUGACAUCCCGGAGACCCUUAGGAAACUAGGGGGUGCUUCCAUCUGGAAGAAUCUGGAGACAGGUGCUGCAUGGCUGUCGUCAGCUCGUGUCGUGAGAUGUUGGGUUAAGUCCCGCAACGAGCGCAACCCUUGCCUUUAGUUGCCAGCAGUUCGGCUGGGCACUCUAAAGGGACUGCCGGUGUUAAACCGGAGGGAGGUGGGGAUGACGUCAAGUCCUCAUGGCCUUUAUGACCAGGGCUACACACGUACUACAAUGGCCGAUACAAAGGGCAGCGACACUGCGAGGUGAAGCCAAUCCCGUAAAAUCGGUCUCAGUCCGGAUUGGAGUCUGCAACUCGACUCCAUGAAGUUGGAAUCGCUAGUAAUCGUGGAUCAGCAUGCCACGGUGAAUACGUUCCCGGGCCUU
rnacentral:rRNA from 1 species